AGUUUAUUAAUAUUAAUGAAUCUUUGGUGGAAACAUGCAUCUUAAGGUUUAAGCACCUACGAUUGCUAAAUUUAAGAAAUUCAACGUUGGAAACGUUGUCAAGCUCAAUUAGUACUUUGAAGCAUUUGAGAUAUCUCAACUUACGUGGAAAUAAGAAAAUCAAGAAAUUGCCUGACUCCAUUUGCGAUCUACAAAAUUUGGAAACUUUGAUAUUACGGGAGUGUGAAGAUCUUGAAGAGUUGCCAAGGGAUAUAAGAAAGAUGGUUAGCCUCAGAUAUUUUGAGAUAACAACAAAACAAACGCGUUUACCCGCCAACGGAAUCGAGUGCAUGUCUUCUCUUCGACAUUUGUACUUUUCCAGCUGUCAUAGACUAGAGUGUUUUAAUGAAGGAAUCCAACGCCUCACCGCCCUUCGCUACUUGAACUUCCUUAAUUGUAAAAGCCUGAUAUCUUUGCCGCAAGGUAUGAAACACCUAAUAGGUUGUGAAAAACUUAAUUUAAUGGAAUGGGAUGACUACCCGACAAGUCUUCGAACAUUCUCUAUUUCGAGAUUGCCACAAUUAGUGAGUUUGCCCCAAUGGCUUAAAGGAUCUGCCGACACUCUACAAUUUUUAUCUAUUUGGUAUUGUGAGAACUUGGGGGUAUUGCCAGAGUGGCUUGCCGAUCUCAGUUCUCUUCGCACGCUUAAGAUUGAGGGUAGCCGAAAAUUAUCGUCUCUGCCAGAAGGGAUGGAUCGCCUCACUGCCCUAAGAGAACUGAAGAUUAAAAUAUGUCCUGGAUUGAGGAGAGAUUAUGAGCGAGAGGUCGGCAAAGAUUGGAGCAAGAUGGUCGAAUUCAGUUUUCAUUAGAUGUUCUUGGGAGAUUGUUCUCUCAGAAAAGGAUGUUUCUUGUGCUUAAAAUUGCCACUGCUUAUCAAUUCAGCCAUAACAUGCAGCACAGAAAGUCUCAGCCUUCUCUUGUAUUGAAAAAUAUUUUUAAUAAUAUUGUGGUGUGCAUUUAGUGUUUGUAAUGAUUAAUGGAGUGAUGUGUGUUUAUGUUUAUGAUUUCAAUUGUAAUUCAUGUAUUAUCUAAUUUGCACAAUGUUUUAGUAACUUGAGUCGUGUGUGUUAUUAAUUGUUUCUCUCUGCUUCUUGGUUAUUGGAAUUACUCCAAUGAACUUCUUUGUUGUGCUUUAUCAUUUAAUUAAAAAAAAAAAAUUGAAGUUUGAAAUUUUUUUCAUGUGAUGUAAAAUAACUAAUCGCAUUAGAGUAUUUGGUAAGCCAACAAUGUGAAAAUUUUAAUUUUAUGAAAGUGGAAUACUACCUAGAAGUUUGCUUUAUCCAUCAAUUGUUGGUUCCGAAUGUCAACCUGUUUUGAAAUUUUGGUAUUUUAAACACCCAAAGUUGUCAUAUCUACUGAGUGGCCUUAAUGCCCAAAGAGGACUGAAGAUUGAAGAUUGUUCUAAAUCAAGAUGACAAUGCCAAGGAGAUAUUGUUUUGUCAGGUUUUCGUGGAAGAUUCUUCUAAGGAAAAGGGAUUCCUUUAGCUUAAAAUUUCUCUUCCAGGUCAUUCGUGGCUCUCUCAAAACUUGCUGUUGAUUUUGGUAGAGAAUCUAUGUUGUCAUUGCAAUGUUUUUUUAGCUCACAACAUGCACUUGUGAUAUCUACUAGCUCACCUGUGAUAUCUACUGGCUCAUGAAAACUUGCUAUAGCUCUGAGGUUUGGAGGAUUACCAAAGGUUAGUUUGGAGUCAUUACAACUUUGGUAAAAGGUUUCCUCUGCACUUUAUAGGGUAGAAUCUAUGAACUUUAUGGGCGAGAGGCAUUUGGAAAAAAAAACACUUAGCCCUUCACGUCAUCAAGGAAGUUCAAUUUACAUAGGUCCCAAAACCCGAUUGUUCUAAUAUAUAGUUUUCACAAUAAGCAAAGCUAAUUAUAAAUCCUUCUGCAAAACUUUCAUGCCUAUUUUAGCUAUUAUCAUUUUUUCAAAGGCUGUUGAACCUUAAGCACAUCCCUCUCUAAUGUCUCUCUUCCCAUAUGAGAGUUCCAUGACCAAUGGAUUUGUCACAUUUAGUUCUUCACAAUUUAUAACUUUUAUAUGUAUUCUUCAUUUAUGGUGGCACUUUUAAAAGAAAAAAGAAAAAGAUGAUGGUCCUGUUUUUUAUCUGAAGAAAGUUUAAGAACUGAUAUAAUAAUGUUGUAAGUCAUUACAUCUUAUAUACUAUGAUAUGUAAAGACUCGACCAACAGUUCCCCAUGAAAAGAAGGAAGUAUUAGAAGAUAUUGAAAACAUUUACCUGAAGAAUUAGUAGUUAAAUUUACAUUUUAUUAUGCUUAAAUUGGUAGUUUGAGCAAUGGCACUUCAUAGGGAUAUCCCAUUGGUUUUGGAAGCUGUCAAUUGAUUAGCCUAUUAAAAAUUAUCUUAUCAGCUAUGUUCAGCGUAGCUUUUGUUAAGGCCAAUAUUUUGGCAAGACCACUCUUUUUGUGAACUUUUUAUUGCAAAUUUCUAACUUUUCUAGUUGUUCAUAAGAUAUAUUUACAAUGGAAUUGUUGUUAAUCCAUUGUUUGAUAUCCCAAUAUCUUAAUUUUAAUUUAUAAUCUCAUAGAUGAAGCCCAUUUUGCAAUUAAUCCUGACACACUAGAUAUGACUAUCUCUAGAUCUUUUGCUCAAGAAUGCAGGACCAAGCCAUAUCUCAUCGUUUGAUGCUGCUUUGUCAAUUGUGAUGGAUAGGAGCUCCUACUAUCUUUUAGUUCUUGCAGUGAGGUUUUUCCAAAUACUCACUUUUUCUUCAUAAAUGUUAUCUAUUCGUUUAACAACUAUUAAGCUACAAUUAUUAAUACUUUGUACUUAGCAACAUGUAAUAGUGAAUAUUAAAACUGCAUCACCAUAACAGUGAUAGCAAUUUAGAAUUAGGCAUCUUAUGAAUAUAAAUAGCAGCAUGGAUAUUUUCUGGUGUUUUCUGUCAGUAAUGGAGAAUCUUGCUACCAGUUCACUCCAUAGAUGGUAAUGAUAGUUAAAUCCUACAAGAUCCAUUCGUUCUUUUUUCUCUGACAAAUAGUCAGAACUUCAUCUGGGUUUGAAUCCUACUGAGAGGUCCACUAGAAUUUGGAAAAAUGAGUACUAAUGAACCUUGUGUGUAUACUAUACGCUCAAAUUUAUAAGACCACACUUAGUGAUUGGCAUGUUCGGAUUUUCCAUUUUCUUUUGCUUUUUUUUUUAAAAAAAAAAAAAAUUCAUUUUUUCCCUUUUUUGGGUGUACAUUAGAUUUGAUAUGGCAAUUGUUGCCUUGGAGUGCUUAUGGUUUUGAGUCCAGAAUAUCCUACACUUUAAAUGUUUGUGGUGUGUGUUGUUCAAAUUUCUUUAACACAUUGACUAGAAUUGCAACUAUAGAGUUGUCAGUAUCAUCAUCAUUUUCUGUCAUUUAAAGAAAAUAUACCCGACAACUAUAGGUGGCCAAAUCUCCGUAUGUUAACCUAUAUUGAUUGGGUUUGCAGUUUGUUUCAUCAUUGGAGCCUAUAUUAUUACAACUUACUCAAUGUAAACAAGAAAAGAGUGUUAGAGUUAUUUGCACUCUGUUAUUAUCUUUCUCAAUAUUCUUAUGCUUUAAUACCAUCCUGUAUGUUUGGAUUUUUUAGGUAGCUGCCCUUCUCCUCCAAUGUGAACUUGCAUCAUUUGAUAGGUGGCACCUUCCAAGAUGUACAAUCAUGUAUAAUAACACAAGAACUUACAAGAAUUCAUUCCUCAUUCUACCAAUCUCAUUCAUAAAUUUUCUUCAUCAGGUUGAAGACAAUAUAUCUAGUCAUUUUUAACCUCCUUGUUUAUGUGUUAUAAGCUGUACCUUAUCAGUUGUAGCAUGGAAGAAAUCCAUUUACCUGCCCAUAUUACCUUUUAUUUCCAAGUCCAAUCAAGUCCAAAAUCAUGGCAACGUUUUGGACAUAUGGAUGAGGUCACCUGUGGUGGGAAUGCAAUGUAAUUCUAUGCAGUUUUAUGACUGAGUAUGACAAGAACAUGAUUGCUCCAGAUUGAGGAUAAGGUCAACCUUCUAUCACUUUUGAUAAUAAGGGGCAUUAAUAAGCUUGCAAGGUUCUUAGAGAAAUAUUAUUUUUAAAAAAGUCAUGCUACUAGUCACUUUAGGAGUAACCAUUUUGAAUAAAUAUUCACCUCACUUCUACCUCACCUUUUCAUGGAGAUGGUUUCUCUGUGCAGUUGUGUUCUAUUAAUUGUACUCUUAUUGUGUGUGUAAGAACAUUAGAGAAAACUUCACAGCUGAGUAUCUACCAACUUGAAAUAAUGAACCAAAUUUUUGGUUGCUACCCUCUUCCUAUAGAUUUUUUUUGUGAAAGUCACAGUUUCAAUCAUAAAGGCCACAUUUCUAUUGAAUUAGUGGUAACCUUGAAAUAUAUUGUCUCAUUUAUGUCUAUAUAGACUUUAUAUUUUAUCAUAUAAUGAGAAGGGCAUCCACUUUUCUUGGUGAAUUUGUGCAUAAUGGGGUUUCAAGUGCAUGGUGUCACUUUGUGAUUGAUGGUGUCAAUGUCUGAAUUUUCUUCAGUCUUCUUAACAGCAUGAAGACAGAUCAUAAACUGAGUGGAAAGAUUAAGACAAAAGGUAAUUAAGAAAAAAAGAAGAUUCAUGUAGCAAUUGAAGCAUAAAUAUAAAUGAGACAUUCCACAGUGAGCAGCCCAAGCAAACUGACAGUGCCAAGAUAGCCAAGUAUUUGGGUAAAUGAUUUAUUUAUCAACUAAACAUAUAACGAGGCAUUCCACAGUCAGAAGCUCAUGUAAACUGGCAGUGCCAAGAGCACCAAGUAUUCUGGUAAGGUAACUAGUUUUGGGGUAUGCAUGCAAAUGAGUUGAAAAGUAAUCUGGCAUCUUUUAGUAAAAAGGUUGAAUGGGGGAUGCAAUUUGGCAGAGGCUUUUGCUCUUAAGUCUGAAGAAUUGGCUUGUGAACAUGGAGUCAUCAUGAAGGAUGAAAGCAACUACUUCAUAGAUGGGGAAGUUUCUAGUCACAAACUUGAAGCUGGACAGUUUAUGUUCGAAAAUGAUGGAAUCCUUGAUAAGAUAGCAUGAUCUUAAGAAGACAGUCAUUUGGAAGAAAAAGAGUAUCAAUGUCAUAUUCUUGAAUAGAUGAAUUAUACUCAUAUAUGGUUGGUGUCAAAUUACCUGGCCACUUUUGAGCACAUGAAGUGACUUGAAGGAUCUUUGCACUUGAGAUUACAAGAAUCUAGCUCUACAAAUACUAGUGUUGCUCCUGAUGUGAAUUAAGCAUUUGCAGAUCUUAACAAUUUAAGUUGUUUCAAGUGAAAAUGCCUUUUGAUGAUCUAAGAAGAAUUGGGUCUCUCUGGUCUGUAUUGGGACUAAACUGUUAGGAAAGUUAAAUCUCCUAUCAUUCUUGUCUGGUUUAUCUUGUAAAAUAAUUUUUAAGAAUUAUAAUUCUUUGUUGUAAUAUUAUGGUAAUCUUAAUGAUCAAAGAAAGCAUCAUUUAUGA